AUCGUCUAUCUGGGGCAAAGGAGUACCCUGGAAAAUUAACAGCUAGGAGUAUGGUGCUGCUAGAGCGAUUCCUGCAGCCUCUCCUCAAUUCCUGCAGUCAUACAUUUUCCUCAGUGCAUCUCAGAACCCAGUAAAAAAGCACAUUGUGUGCAGAGCAGGCCUUAGCGGACACAGGCGUGCCUGUCAUGAGACAGAGGAAGACUGGGAUGGCACAAAACUGCUGAAAGAACCUGUCUGGUCCUAAAUCUGCUCCCCACUUGAUUCUGGAAGGAGGGUCACCAGCAGCAGGUCCAGGGCUGAAUGAACAGUCCUGACGUACUGCAAAUAUCUGCAUUAGCUGGUCCUGUUUAUUAACUGCCACCAGCUGAUACAAAGAUGUUUCUGAUGUUUUAGAACUCCAAGGCUCAGCCUCACUUUUGGAUGUUCCAGGCUCUGGUAUCUGCACUGCACCCACAGACGUCCAGAUGUGUGCCUAAGUCCUGCCAAGAAUUUUUAAAAAGAGACCAAAACUCAAAAGAGAUCACAGAGGACUGGCUGCAGAUGAAGAAGAUAUUUGUGGACAGUACGGAGAAGAGGAUAUAAGAAAAAGUGAAUAUGGAAGACUGUCAAAAGUAGAUUUGCUCUUCACCAGGAGAGGGUUGAGUUUAUACACUCACAGCAUGAAUACCUCAGCAUCUCUCUGCUGAUGCAUUUGUUAGAAUCUCCUGGGAAGGAAGAUGAUGGUCUCCCAGCUCCCGGUGACUGUGCAGUUUGAGCGCGGGGGCUACAUUAAGGACAUUCCCCACUGACAGAGCCUGGGAGAUCUGCACACUCUGCAAGCUAAUCUGCAAAUCUCUUGGCCAUGGAGUUUAGGUUCACACACCCAUUGUAAUCCCAACAACACCUCUGAUACUUCUUAUUGAGAGGGUGAUUGGCACCGUGAUCUUUGCAGCAUCUGAUGAUGUCCCCAAACAGCCAGGCCACCAUGUGGUGUCAGGCUGUGGCAAUAAAGUGAACAAUGGCAGAAGAAAUGAAUAGAAUAUUACACCAUUACACUACAGACUAUGAAAAUUACCCUCAUCCUGCCAGAGUGUACCCAAUGGAGGACAUUUUCUCUUUCUUUUUGGCAGCCCUUAUUUCUUGCCAGUCCAUGGUUUCCUUUGUCCGAUUAGGACUGUAAAUGCAGUCAUUUAAAUGAAGUAUUCACGCAGCUUGCAUCCGCUAAGUAUCUUCCCAUUAACCAGAUGACACUCCUGCUUUGCAUAAGGCAGGAAUUCCUUUAUCUGGCAUGAUUAAAGGAAGCAGCACUUUCGAGAUGCACCUAUAAAUUUUUGCAUUCAUUUAAGUCACAAAUAGCAUUAGCACAAUGGACAGAUUGUGUCCAAGGCUGGGAAAAUAAAACUGCCACAUGAUAUUGAUUUAAGUGUCAUCCGACCAUCCGCACAGUUCAAAAACCAGAGUACAUCUGUGUUAGCACAGGCAUCGAUAAAUACAAGAAUUAAAGAGAUGGUGUGAAGGAGAGGAGACAGAACAGUUGACAAUGUUAGAGACCUAAAUCCAUUAUCUUUUGGCCUGGGGAAAGGAAAAUAGGCACGCAGUCCAGUCCGCCUUGAUUUACGAUGCUGCCCAAACCCCUGCCUCUUUCACAGACUUUUUUGUUCCAUCUUUAUCUCCUCAGUCUGAAGGCUGCCUGACGGACCAACACACCGAGAACGCACCUGGCGCCAGCAGGCACGGGCAGGCUCCUCUGCCACGACCAGUAGCCAAGUGCUCACAGACACACUGGCCAGCACCCUGUCCCUGUGCGUGCAACAGAGAGGCCCCACAACAGGAGAUCAUGUUCUGAAGAAGCAGCUUGUGAGUUUUUGCUGGCCAAACUAAGGAGCAGAAGACAAAAAGGAGGAUGUAGUUCCUGUGUUGUCAGCUCAGGCAGAUUUGGUGCUUUAAUUGAGGCUGCAGCUCCAGGAACCCUCCCCAAAUGAAUUGUGCUUGUUCCUGUAGGCAGGGGAGGGUGAGAUGUGAAUCUCAGCUGCCCACCUGCAAGGCCAUACCUGUGCCUGUGGCUCGGGCUGUCUCCGCUCCUGGAGCACCGUGUGCUGUCCUGCCAGCACAGCACCUGCCACAGCAGGGCCCAGCCUCAUGUGGGCCCUUGCGGCCCUAUGGAACAUAAAUAAUAAAGACCGUGGUGCUAAAUGUAAAACAGUCACAAAGACAUGAUUAUCCCAUAAAAUGGAAUUGAGACUCAAUGAAACACUGUUUCACAGACCACAAGCUCGUCCUUUCCAAUUCUUUGGAGACAGCAACCCACCCGUGUGGGGUACGUGGCAAUGCUGCAAAGGCCCCAAGGUGCAAAGUUAAUGCUCUCCGAAGUGGAGGCAGAAGAGACAAGAGGGGGUGUGGUGGUGGUGGUGGGGGGAAUGUCUGUGUGUGUAAAUGCAAGAGUUCAUCCAAAAGGUUCCUGGAACAAUAAUCCUCCCAACAGUCAAAAAAACGUUUUGCACAAAAAUGAGAGCAAGCUGAGAGAUGCAGAGUUCAAACAUUGCAGCAGAUGGCAAAUUAACUGAUUUGGGCUCUCUCCUCAAAGAAGCUGCUGUCCACGCACGUGUGUAUAUGUAUUUUGUGGGUGUCUCACCACCCCCCAUGUCCCAUGACACAGACCUUGCUGUGUACGCUGUCUUGCCGGCAGAACCCAGCCAAAGACAUUUGGUGCCCAUGGAAAGUUUCCCACGUAAAUACACAGGCUUUGCUGUUGAUCCGUUUUCUUCAAGCAAAAUGUGGCAGCCAUGGUGGGAUGGGGAGCACACAGGGCUGUUGGUCUGGCUCCCCGAUACCUUGAGCAGCAGCAUAUGCCACUUGAGAUGGACCUAACUGGGCCUGCAGCCUCAAAUGUCCUCCAACUCCCAGUAAACUCAUCCCAAGCGAGUGGCUGUGUUCAAACAGACAGUCCUCGCUUUACAUGUUGAAGCAUCAUUAAGGAAAUUGGUCACAGACCGCAGAACUGAACCCGUGGCUAAUCUCAAACCGGCCUCCAUCACCAGGCAAGCUGUCCCUGCAGGGCCAGGACCCCAUGCAAUGACACAGUGCACAGAGAUCCUGAGAAGGAAAAAGCAGUGUUUGCCAAAGUACCACUUUAUCUAGCCCUCCUGCCAUCAAAGCCUCAGCUGUACUUGUGGUUAGUUUUUAAUCUGUAUGCUGACUUUACUACACACUUUGCUCCAUGUGUGUAUUGGCAAAGCUCCUGCAAUGCAGUUAUUAAACUCUGAUACAUGUGUAGGUGUAUAAUUGCAGAGAGGACUUUUUUUUUUUUAAUAAGGUAUUUUGAUCCGUCUACAAAUAUAGAACAUAAUUAUCUGCAAUUACCACAUGCUUAUCUAAAUAACUGUAUAUUGUUCCCCCUCCCGCUGAAGAACAUGAGCUUCCUAUUCAUGGCACAGCCACAGUGAUGCUGAGUUCACAACUGUGCGCUCCACACCACCAAUUACUGACAGGAUGUUUAUGCAGCGUGUAAGUGGCAAAGCGAACACAUGCACGCGCGCGCGCACACACACACACACACACACAAACACAGUUUAAGAAAUCAUUAAAUCUAGAGCCGGGAGAAUUUGAAGAUUAAUAAAACGGUAUUGAACAUGCAGUCUGUCAAGGGCAGAGUUCUUGUCAAAUCCUGCAGCAGAUGGGUUGUUUAGUUAAGAGGCCAAAACUUGAUACUUAAGGGAAUAGCUUAGUUUUCCUAGUUAUCUUACAAACCUGCUGGGUAACUCAGAGGACUAUGCAGAUUAUCAGUUAUCCAUUAUGCAUAACAGAAAUACCUGCUUUUUUCUCCCAGAUCAGAUCCACUGUAGAUCAAUUGCUAGUUCCUAAUUCCUUCAGUUUAACUUCACCCUGUUUUCACUUCCAUUAUGCUUAAAUGAUCGGCUUUUAGAAAGCAGGAUAUUUUCCUUAACACAAGUAGUCUAAAGACUACAGUUACCCAGUCCUUCUGCUGUUAGGAAUGUGGGGGAAGAAAGGAUGAUAAUACCAGUUCAAUAACGAGAGCCACUGACUAAUUUCCAGCUGAUGUUAGCACAGAAGAUCUCUGGGGUCACUGAAAGUGGACUUAUUGCCUUCUCAUAGUGUAAAUACAUGGCUGUGGUGUACUACAGCCUGGCUUAAGGUGGCUGGGGUAGCUUAGGCUCACAUUCGACACUGCUCUCUUGCUUCCUAGGAUUCAUUCACUCCAUCACCUCUCCAGCCCAAUUUAUCAUAAGUCUGUGUUUAUUUUUCUAGUGGAUGGGAAGGUGAGGCAAUUCUAGCCCAGCUUUGGCCAGGUCAUGGUGUCAGACUGAAAUCUGACAAUCACUUUACGCUGAUCUAAUUCUGUACCAAAACAAAAAACUUUUUUUUUUUUUUUCUUUUCUUUUCUUGU